GGUUAAGCGACUAAGCGUACACGGUGGAUGCCCUGGCAGUCAGAGGCGAUGAAGGACGUGCUAAUCUGCGAUAAGCGUCGGUAAGGUGAUAUGAACCGUUAUAACCGGCGAUUUCCGAAUGGGGAAACCCAGUGUGUUUCGACACACUAUCAUUAACUGAAUCCAUAGGUUAAUGAGGCGAACCGGGGGAACUGAAACAUCUAAGUACCCCGAGGAAAAGAAAUCAACCGAGAUUCCCCCAGUAGCGGCGAGCGAACGGGGAGCAGCCCAGAGCCUGAAUCAGUGUGUGUGUUAGUGGAAGCGUCUGGAAAGGCGCGCGAUACAGGGUGACAGCCCCGUACACAAAAAUGCACAUGCUGUGAGCUCGAUGAGUAGGGCGGGACACGUGGUAUCCUGUCUGAAUAUGGGGGGACCAUCCUCCAAGCGCUAAAUACUCCUGACUGACCGAUAGUGAACCAGUACCGUGAGGGAAAGGCGAAAAGAACCCCGGCGAGGGGAGUGAAAAAGAACCUGAAACCGUGUACGUACAAGCAGUGGGAGCACGCUUAGGCGUGUGACUGCGUACCUUUUGUAUAAUGGGUCAGCGACUUAUAUUCUGUAGCAAGGUUAACCGAAUAGGGGAGCCGAAGGGAAACCGAGUCUUAACUGGGCGUUAAGUUGCAGGGUAUAGACCCGAAACCCGGUGAUCUAGCCAUGGGCAGGUUGAAGGUUGGGUAACACUAACUGGAGGACCGAACCGACUAAUGUUGAAAAAUUAGCGGAUGACUUGUGGCUGGGGGUGAAAGGCCAAUCAAACCGGGAGAUAGCUGGUUCUCCCCGAAAGCUAUUUAGGUAGCGCCUCGUGAAUUCAUCUCCGGGGGUAGAGCACUGUUUCGGCAAGGGGGUCAUCCCGACUUACCAACCCGAUGCAAACUGCGAAUACCGGAGAAUGUUAUCACGGGAGACACACGGCGGGUGCUAACGUCCGUCGUGAAGAGGGAAACAACCCAGACCGCCAGCUAAGGUCCCAAAGUCAUGGUUAAGUGGGAAACGAUGUGGGAAGGCCCAGACAGCCAGGAUGUUGGCUUAGAAGCAGCCAUCAUUUAAAGAAAGCGUAAUAGCUCACUGGUCGAGUCGGCCUGCGCGGAAGAUGUAACGGGGCUAAACCAUGCACCGAAGCUGCGGCAGCGACACUAUGUGUUGUUGGGUAGGGGAGCGUUCUGUAAGCCUGUGAAGGUGUGCUGUGAGGCAUGCUGGAGGUAUCAGAAGUGCGAAUGCUGACAUAAGUAACGAUAAAGCGGGUGAAAAGCCCGCUCGCCGGAAGACCAAGGGUUCCUGUCCAACGUUAAUCGGGGCAGGGUGAGUCGACCCCUAAGGCGAGGCCGAAAGGCGUAGUCGAUGGGAAACAGGUUAAUAUUCCUGUACUUGGUGUUACUGCGAAGGGGGGACGGAGAAGGCUAUGUUGGUAGGGCGACGGUUGUCCCGGUUUAAGCGUGUAGGCUGGUUUUCCAGGCAAAUCCGGAAAAUCAAGGCUGAGGCGUGAUGACGAGGCACUACGGUGCUGAAGCAACAAAUGCCCUGCUUCCAGGAAAAGCCUCUAAGCAUCAGGUAACAUCAAAUCGUACCCCAAACCGACACAGGUGGUCAGGUAGAGAAUACCAAGGCGCUUGAGAGAACUCGGGUGAAGGAACUAGGCAAAAUGGUGCCGUAACUUCGGGAGAAGGCACGCUGAUAUGUAGGUGAAGUCCCUUGCGGAUGGAGCUGAAAUCAGUCGAAGAUACCAGCUGGCUGCAACUGUUUAUUAAAAACACAGCACUGUGCAAACACGAAAGUGGACGUAUACGGUGUGACGCCUGCCCGGUGCCGGAAGGUUAAUUGAUGGGGUCAGCGCAAGCGAAGCUCUUGAUCGAAGCCCCGGUAAACGGCGGUACGUAACUAUAACGGUCCUAAGGUAGCGAAAUUCCUUGUCGGGUAAGUUCCGACCUGCACGAAUGGCGUAAUGAUGGCCAGGCUGUCUCCACCCGAGACUCAGUGAAAUUGAACUCGCUGUGAAGAUGCAGUGUACCCGCGGCAAGACGGAAAGACCCCGUGAACCUUUACUAUAGCUUGACACUGAACAUUGAGCCUUGAUGUGUAGGAUAGGUGGGAGGCUUUGAAGUGUGGACGCCAGUCUGCAUGGAGCCGACCUUGAAAUACCACCCUUUAAUGUUUGAUGUUCUAACGUGGACCCGUGAUCCGGGUUGCGGACAGUGUCUGGUGGGUAGUUUGACUGGGGCGGUCUCCUCCUAAAGAGUAACGGAGGAGCACGAAGGUUGGCUAAUCCUGGUCGGACAUCAGGAGGUUAGUGCAAUGGCAUAAGCCAGCUUGACUGCGAGCGUGACGGCGCGAGCAGGUGCGAAAGCAGGUCAUAGUGAUCCGGUGGUUCUGAAUGGAAGGGCCAUCGCUCAACGGAUAAAAGGUACUCCGGGGAUAACAGGCUGAUACCGCCCAAGAGUUCAUAUCGACGGCGGUGUUUGGCACCUCGAUGUCGGCUCAUCACAUCCUGGGGCUGAAGUAGGUCCCAAGGGUAUGGCUGUUCGCCAUUUAAAGUGGUACGCGAGCUGGGUUUAGAACGUCGUGAGACAGUUCGGUCCCUAUCUGCCGUGGGCGCUGGAGAACUGAGGGGGCUGCUCCUAGUACGAGAGGACCGGAGUGGACGCAUCACUGGUGUUCGGGUUGUCAUGCCAAUGGCACUGCCCGGUAGCUAAAUGCGGAAGAGAUAAGUGCUGAAAGCAUCUAAGCACGAAACUUGCCCCGAGAUGAGUUCUCCCUGACCCUUUAAGGGUCCUGAAGGAACGUUGAAGACGACGACGUUGAUAGGCCGGGUGUGUAAGCGCAGCGAUGCGUUGAGCUAACCGGUACUAAUGAACCGUGAGGCUUAACCUU
rnacentral:rRNA from 1 species